AUGCACCACGGCCCGCCACCACCCCAGCGUCCCUCAAGUCGCGCCGCCCCGCGCCUGACUACCCUCGUGCGGCCCACCUCAGGCUCCACUGUAGUCCGUCCUCCCCGGCCAGGAGGUUCUCUCAAGCGCACCGGCCUCCCCUCUGCUUCUUCUCCACUUCUGACGAACACAAAAACAUGUGAGCAUUUGGGUUUGUUGUUGGAGUUCACUUUUUUUUUUGGGGAUGAAAAAUUCAGUGCACUGCAGUUUGCUAUUCCUGCUAUUGCGGUUUCAGUUUGCAGGAGGCCAACCUCUUUCAAUCACGGAGCUGGAGGUGAACGGCGGCAACAACGCCCCGUGCAGUUCAAAAAUUGCUUGUUUUGCUGCUUCUUUUUUUUGCCUUCAGAUGCAGUUCACCAUGGCCUCGCACGCGGUCUGGUGUCACAGCUGUUUCAGUGCUUGCGUGCGCCAUGGCCUCGCACGGAUGCAGUUCAGAAAAGUGCUUGUUUUCUUGUUUUGCAGUGCAGAUUGUAUCGACGAGAAGUGCACCACAUGUACAAAGGAGAAAAAAAGAAUAUCGUCAUUUUUUUUGAAGUUUGUUUUAUUGUUCGAGAAAACAGACAUAAUGCUGGAGUGUGA
rnacentral:rRNA from 1 species